GCUGGUUUCCACACCUUCAUUGCACGGCCUGAGAAAAGAAUAUAAAAGCUGCUUUGGGAAGUAAAGAAGGCAAAGAAUAAAGACAAAGAAACGAUGGCAGUGGUGGAGAGAAAAGAAAUGAGAGAAGGUCACCAUGAUGGGGAGAGGAAACAGAGACUUUUCUGCUGGAGAAGGGCAGAAGAUGGCAGCUGAUAUGCAGUGGAUGACAUCCAGGGGCAUCUGCCUCUGGAAACAUCAGGUCAUAUGGCAUCCCACUCCUUCGAAACGGUUUCUUGGUCAAAUGACAAUCAAGAGCUUCAAGAAAACCCCAAGACUAUACAAACAAUGUGAGAAAUACUUGGAGGAUUGGAAUACAACUGGAAAUUUUGGUCUAGCAUGUCUGCGGUUGUCCCUGUGAUUUAAAGUAGCACAUACAGUACCAUAUGCGAUUAGUUGGCUGUGGAGCAGGGCCUGAGGCAUGGACAACUGUGCGGUGGAAUGAAUUUGCAGCUGCUUCUCAAGCUCUUCAAGGGGAUUUCCUGCAGAAAGUCUUACCAGGACUGAUUGGGUAAUAUAAAAAGGUAACCCUCAACACUUAAC
rnacentral:lncRNA from 1 species